GACGAACGCUGGCGGCGUGCCUAACACAUGCAAGUCGAACGGAAAGGCCCGGCUUUUGUGGGUUGCUCGAGUGCCGAACGGGUGUGUAACACAUGAGUAACCUGCCCCUAUCUUUGGGAUAACUUUAGGAAACUGGGGCUAAUACCGCAUAGGAGCUCCUGCUGCAUGGUGGGGGAUGGAAAGUUUCGGCGGUUGGGGAUCGACUCGCGGCUUAUGAGCUUGUUGGUGGGGUAGUGGCUGACCAAGCCUUAGACGGGUAGCCGGCCUGAGAGGGGGAACGGCGACAAUAGGACUGAGAGAGGCAGCAGUAUCGUACGGGAGGCAGCAGGGGAGAGUAUUGCAGAAUGGGCGGGAGCCUGAGGCGGCGACGCCGCGAGCGGGAUAACCGGCUACGGGUUGUAAACAGCUUUGGCCGGAGACGAAGCGUGAGUGACGGUAAUGGGUAAGGAAGCACCGGCUAACUACGUG
rnacentral:rRNA from 1 species